AACGAACGCUGGCGGCGCGCCUAAUACAUGCAAGUCGAGCGAGAAGACGUAGCAAUACGUUUGUAAAGCGGCGAACGGGUGAGGAAUACAUGGGUAACCUACCCUCGAGUGGGGAAUAACUAGCCGAAAGGUUAGCUAAUACCGCGUACGCUCCUUGGACUUCGGUUCAGGGAGGAAAGCGAUACCGUGGGUAUCGCGCUCUUGGAUGGGCUCAUGUCCUAUCAGCUUGUUGGGAGGUAACGGCUCACCAAGGCUUCGACGGGUAGCUGGUCUGAGAGGACGAUCAGCCACACUGGCACUGCGACACGGGCCAGACUCCUACGGGAGGCAGCAGUAAGGAAUAUUGCGCAAUGGGCGAAAGCCUGACGCAGCGACGCCGCGUGGGGGAUGAAGGUCUUCGGAUUGUAAACCCCUUUCGGGAGGGAAGAUGGAACGAGCAAUCGUUCGGACGGUACCUCCAGAAGCAGCCACGGCUAACUUCGUGCCAGCAGCCGCAGUAA
rnacentral:rRNA from 1 species